rnacentral:misc_RNA from 1 species
AGUAUGUUCAGUCGUGUUCGUCCAUUCGUCGUGAUGCCGCGGUGGUUUCAGGGUCCACGCUGCACCAAUCUUGUCCGAUUGGACGGUCAAGUAGCAGUUAUCACGGGGGCUAAUACUGGAAUCGGUAAAGAAACUGCCCGCGAACUCAGUCGAAGAGGUGCUCAAGUCGUCAUAGCUUGCAGGGAUAUUGAGAAGGCCGAAGAUGCCGCCAGAGAGAUCUCAUCGGAAACAAAAAAUGCCGUAACAACAGUGAAGCUAGACUUGGCAUCCCUGAAUUCCAUUCGGAUGGCAGCUCAAAGCUUGAAAAUACAGCAACCCAAAAUCCAUCUUCUUAUCAACAAUGCGGGAAUAAUGGUGUGUCCUCAAUGGAAGACGGAGGACGAUUUCGAAAUGCAACUGGGCGUAAAUCAUUUGGGCCAUUUCUUAUGGACUCUCAUGCUACUCGACAACGUUAAAGAGGCUGCUCCAUCUCGAAUUAUCAAUGUGUCUUCAAUUGCUCAUACAAGAGGACGAAUGGACUUCGAUGACAUCAUGAUGGAGAAAAAUUACGAACCUACGCGCGCAUAUUGUCGAAGUAAAUUAGCCAACAUCCUUUUCACCAAAGAAUUGGCUGAUCGUCUUAGAGGUACCGGAGUUACUUGCUAUUCGCUUCAUCCUGGAGUUGUUCAGACAGAGUUAGGGCGACAUCUGCGGGUGACUACCAAUCGUUUGAUAGAUGACCUGUUUCAUUGGUUUGGACGAUACUUUUUUAAAACGGCUGAAAUGGGCGCCCAAACGAGUAUUUACUGCGCUACAGAACCAUCGCUUUCCAAUAAGACCGGCCUUUAUUACAGUGAUUGUGCUGAAGUGAGACCAUCAAGGCAAGCCGAAAACAAAGAGUCUGCACGUCGUCUGUGGGAAAUCAGUGAGCAGUUAGUGAACUUCAGUUACACCACGGAAUAAUUUGUCUCGCCACACCAAAAAACAAAGAGCCUGCACGUCGUCUGCAGGAAAUCAGCGAGCAGUAAAUUGAACUCUCGUAAGCCUGCUA